GGAGGGUGCGAGCGUUGUCCGGAAUCAUUGGGCGUAAAGGGCGCGUAGGUGGCCCGGUCAGUCGGUGGUGAAAGCGCGGGGCUAACUCCGCGUCGGCCGUCGAUACUGGCGGGGCUGGAGCACUGUAGAGGCAGGCGGAACUCCGGGUGUAGCGGUGGAAUGCGUAGAGAUCCGGAAGAACACCGGUGGCGAAGGCGGCCUGCUGGGCAGUUGCUGACACUGAGGCGCGACAGCGUGGGGAGACAAACAGGAUUAGACUACCCUGGUAGUCCACGACCGUAAACGAGUGGGCACUAGGCGCUUGGGGGAGCGACCCUCCGAGGGCCGGCGCUAACGCAUUAAGUGCCCCGCCUGGGGAGUACGGCCGCAAGGCUG
rnacentral:rRNA from 1 species